rnacentral:tRNA from 1 species
UCCCUGGUGGCUCAGAUGGUAAAGCAUCUGCCUACAAUGCAGGAGACCUGGGUUUGAUCCCUGGGUGGGGAA